GGGAAGCUACAUUUCACCACCAUAUAUAGUAGCUCUAUCAAAAUAUUGCUAGUAUAAAUUAACACACCAACAAAUUCAAGGCAGUAAAAACAGCCAGCUCUCUCUACUAUGAAAGCAGAAAAUGAGGAGCAUUAUGGUGCUAUCUUAAUACUAUACUUUUAGUUUUUUCUUUCAGUCGUUCGAUCACCUGCAUAAGCAUUGUUACUCAUCAGCUCAUCUGUUUUACAGAUCUUUUAUUUGUAACUUCCCUCGAACUUCUGUUACUUCGUUACUAACUUCCACUCCUUUCCCAUCAAUAUUCAGCCCUUGCCUGAGGGCUAGUUUUCCAUUUACGGUUUCUGUUUUGUUUUUUUUCGUUUUUUU
rnacentral:misc_RNA from 1 species